AGAGUUUGAUCAUGGCUCAGGAUGAACGCUGGCGGCGUGCCUAAUACAUGCAAGUCGAGCGGAUUUCUUGAGAGCUUGCUCUUAAGAAGUUAGCGGCGGACGGGUGAGUAACACGUGGGUAACCUGCCUAUAAGACUGGGAUAACUCCGGGAAACCGGGGCUAAUACCGGAUAGCAUUUUGAACCGCAUGGUUCGAAAUU
rnacentral:rRNA from 1 species